rnacentral:rRNA from 1 species
UUUAAUUGAAGAGUUUGAUCAUGGCUCAGAUUGAACGCUGGCGGCAGGCCUAACACAUGCAAGUCGAACGGUAACAGGGAGCAGCUUGCUGCUCUGCUGACGAGUGGCGGACGGGUGAG